CAACCAGUAACAGGAACGCCUACUGGCGACUUCAUAGUACAGCGACUGGCGACUUGCAGCGAUAAAAAUCGCUGUGUGUGAGGGCACCUUUAGUCCUCAACCCAGGUUUUUGAACAGAUUUUUGAUCUCACAGGAGGAAAGCUGUCAUCAGAUUCGACUAAUUAGUCUAAAAGUGAAUUGAUUAAUCCACUGCAGAAACAACAUGCAAAACUACAUGACCACCAACCAGUGUCAUGUCUGCAUUAACAGAAUAAAACUCCAUUAUGCAUGAUCACAUUAAUAAUUAAGUUAAUAAAUAAAACGAAUGAGCAGUGUAAUUGGACAGUUACACAUUUGUUCUUAUUUCAUCUUUGCGCUCCAGCAUGUUGGAUUUGAAAUUAAAUUAUUAGGAUAUAGUGA